rnacentral:rRNA from 1 species
UACAGAGGGUGCGAGCGUUAAUCGGAAUUACUGGGCGUAAAGCGCGCGUAGGCGGCUUUGCAAGUCGGGUGUGAAAUCCCCAGGCUUAACCUGGGAACUGCAUUCGAUACUGGCGAUCUUCGAGUCCGGGAGAGGUGAGUGGAACUCCGAGUGUAGAGGUGAAAUUCGUAGAUAUUCGGAAGAACACCAGUGGCGAAGGCGGCUCACUGGCCCGGUACUGACGCUGAGAUACGAAAGCGUGGGGAGCAAACAGG